UCCUGUGAGGCCCGGGGAGAAAGGGAGCAGCCCAAUCCCAGAAGGUAUAAAGGCUCUGGGAGCAGCAGCACCUGGGUGGCAUCUCUGACUUAAAAUCAGGAUAGGUGAAGAGCCUGACGGAGAAAAGGACUGUUAAUGAGAGCAGGUGCAGUUGGUGGGCCAGCCCUGGCACUCGUUAAGCAGCAAGAACUUUCUGGUAUGGUACCUUUGGUCUGUGAAGAAUCUUCAUCCAUAUUCAAUUUUGGGACUCGCACUGCCAAUUUCGGCUCAAGGAUUCCUGCAAGUCCUACCGUCUUUAUGUCUCCACCAGUUCUGCUGCCUGAGCUCCAGGUUCUCAGCUUUCUGCUGCCUCUGCCUCAGCUUUCUGCUGCCUCUGCCUAAAUCUGCUCCUGGGUAUCUCUGCAGCCCGGGGCUGUUGACAAAGUCACAAAUCAGUCUUUGUCGUUCACUUAAAUAUCUCUAGGAACUGUCCCACCCAUCCCAACGGGAACAGCAACAAAACAAUAGAAUAAACAAUCAAGUAGUCAAAGAUGAAAAUAAAAGUAAAAUAAAAUUAUAAUAGAAUGAAA